rnacentral:lncRNA from 1 species
GAAUGUAUUCGCUGGCCAGCCCCAUCAGGCCUACAGCCCUCCCCUCCCAAACUUCCCAAACCGACCCUGAAGAAAGUCAGAAUGAUUUACCGAAAAGAUGGGAAACCGGUACCAGCUUCACCAGGACAGCCUCAACCCCCGAAAGGAAGCAGCGAAAGGCCGAGGCAGGAAUUUCCAGUCGUGACACUGAGACAGGACUGGAGCCGUACACAGAACACCGUCUGCACCAGAGAAGCAGAGACGUUUGCUCGUGAUGGCUCCCAGGUGGGCAAGCGCACGUGUGCCCCAGUGCACUCCGGUCCAGCCCGAGAGGAGGAAGGCCCUGUCAGAGGCCUCCCGCCUGACCACGAGCGGGCCACUUGAGCCACUUCCAGGAGGGAGGAGGCUCCUAAGAGAAGCUGUUUUUCAGGCAUCU